GGGGUGAGAGCUUCGGGGAGGACAAGGGCUGGUGGGAGAGCAGCAGCGUGCCACUCACCUGGAUGCCCCUCCGGCCUGGUGCCCCAGCCUUGCCUGGCCUUCCCUUUGGGCCCUGGAAAAACAAAAGCAAGGCCAAUGUCAGAGGCUGCCCGGAGGAGGAGCGGACUCCAGAUGAAGGUGGCCCUUGGCCUCAGUUUCCCUGGUGGGCAGCCAGCCCUUUUACCUCUUCGCCUUUUGAUCCUUUGGGUCCUGGCCGCCCCCGGGGUCCCAGAUGCCCCUGCAAACCAAGGAGGCCAGGAGAGACCACUCACGGGUUGGCCCUGCUGGCCAGGCUUUCCACGGAGUCCAUGCACACCCUCCUGUCCCUGGAAAGCAAGGGAGACAGACAAGGGGUGACCCGGUCGUCCCAUGGCUGACGUCAUUUCUCCUGCGAGCCUAACUGGAGACUGCCCCUGACCCUGCCCUGGGCACGAAGAUGACCCCCUCGCAGAGUGAUGGCCGCAGUCCCACAGCUCCUGCCCCAAGGACCCCAGGCAAACAAGAUGGAGAGGAGAGGAGGCAUGAGGACCCAGGAGGGCAAACGACAAGUGGGGACACCAGGCGGUACAGCAGGGUCCCAGCUCUGACCCAACCUUCUGUGUGGUUCUGAGCAUUGCUUCCAGACAAGCCCUGCAGCAGACACAUCUCUCUGGAUGCCGUGACCUGGUUCCCGUGUGGCCCUGAGUGUGACACGAUGCCCCAUCUGAGCAGCGGGACAGCGCCCCACGCCUCUGCCAGAGCUGAGGAUCCAGCUCCAGGGUUGGAGCGGACUUGCAGGCCCAGGGCCUGGCCACAGCUCCUGUGCCCCUCCCCACAGGCACUCCAAAAUGUAGCCCUGGCCAGCGGAGAGAGGUUUGGCUUUGUCUCCACAGCUGUCAGGGAAACUGCUCAGUAGCGGUGGCGCUGGACUAAGUGACCUCAAGGUCUCUCGAUUCUUCCAUCGUAAAAUAUCAGCCACCAUGACCUUCACGGCGGCCCACAUCCACACCCCACAUGGACCCUCACCGGAUUCUCCCGGGUGUCAGGAGACAAACACUGGGAGGUCUUUGUCCUACAGUCCUGCUGCCAAAGAGACUCAAAUGCAAGCCCCUCACUGUCUCCGUUACCUGACACACACGCAGGCUGCCCCAGAUGCUCUCUCCCAUCCAGCAGAUGAGAACCGUGCAUGACAGCAAAAUACCAGCAUCAACACUGCUUCCACCACCAAGGCCACCACCGUCAGCAUCACAAGCCCGGCACUGCCUCUGUCAUAUCACCACCACCCGUUCCGGUCACCCCUCCCCCAGGCUCAUAAAGACAAUCUUUUACAUUUCUACUGCA